rnacentral:rRNA from 1 species
UACGAAGGGGGCUAGCGUUGCUCGGAAUCACUGGGCGUAAAGGGUGCGUAGGCGGGUCUUUUAAGUCAGGGGUGAAAUCCUGGAGCUCAACUCCAGAACUGCCUUCGAUACUGGGAAUCUUGAGUCCGGGAGAGGUGAGUGGAACUGCGAGUGUAGAGGUGAAAUUCGUAGAUAUUCGCAAGAACACCAGUGGCGAAGGCGGCUCACUGGCCCGGUACUGACGCUGAGGUGCGAAAGCGUGGGGAGCAAACAGG